CCUUCAGUUGCCUCGUGAUCCG
rnacentral:miRNA from 1 species